rnacentral:rRNA from 1 species
UACGUAGGGGGCAAGCGUUGUCCGGAAUCAUUGGGCGUAAAGAGCGUGUAGGCGGCCCGGUAAGUCCGCUGUGAAAGUCCAGGGCUCAACCCUGGGAUGCCGGUGGAUACUGUCGGGCUCGAGUCCGGAAGAGGAGUGUGGAAUUCCUGGUGUAGCGGUGAAAUGCGCAGAUAUCAGGAGGAACACCGGUGGCGAAGGCGCCACUCUGGGCCGAAACUGACGCUGAGGAGCGAAAGCGUGGGUAGCAAACAGG